ACGAACGCUGGCGGCGUGCCUAAUACAUGCAAGUAGAACGCACAGUUUAUACCGUAGCUUGCUACACCAUAGACUGUGAGUUGCGAACGGGUGAGUAACGCGUAGGUAACCUGCCUGGUAGCGGGGGAUAACUAUUGGAAACGAUAGCUAAUACCGCAUAAUAUUAAUUAUUGCAUGAUAAUUGAUUGAAAGAUGCAACUGCAUCACUACCAGAUGGACCUGCGUUGUAUUAGCUAGUAGGGGAGGUAACGGCUCACCUAGGCGACGAUACAUAGCCGACCUGAGAGGGUGCUCGGCCACACUGGGACUGAGACACGGCCCAGACUCCUACGGGAGGCAGCAGUAGGGAAUCUUCGGCAAUGGACGCAAGUCUGACCGAGCAACGCCGCGUGAGUGCAGAAGGUUUUCGGAUCGUAAAGCUCUGUUGUAAGAGAAGAACGGGUGUGAGAGUGGAAAGUUCACACUGUGACGGUAUCUUACCAGAAAGGGACGGCUAACUACGUG
rnacentral:rRNA from 1 species